rnacentral:rRNA from 1 species
AUUGAACGCUGGCGGCAGGCCUAACACAUGCAAGUCGAGCGAGCGGCGGACGGGCGAGUAAUGUAUGGGGAUCUGCCCGAUAGAGGGGGCUAACUACUGGAAACGGUGGCUAAUACCGCAUACUAUCCGAUGAACCCAUUGGGGAUUAGCUAGUAGGUGGGGUAAAGGCGAACCUAGGCGACGAUCUCGAGCUGGUCUGAGAGGAUGAUCAGACACACUGGGACUGAGACACGGCCCAGACUCCUACGGGAGGCAGCAGUGGGGAAUAGUGGACAAGGGGCGAAAGCCUGAUGCAGCCAUGCCGCGUGUAUGAAGAAGGCCUGAGGGUUGUAAAGUGCUUUCAGCGGGGAGGCGUUACCCGCAGAGGAAGCACCGGCUAACUCCGUGCCAGCAGCCGCGGUAAUAC